rnacentral:rRNA from 1 species
CCGGAUUUACUGGGUGUAAAGGGAGCGUAGACGGAUGGGCAAGUCUGAUGUGAAAACCCGGGGCUCAACCCCGGGACUGCAUUGGAAACUGUUCAUCUAGAGUGCUGGAGAGGUAAGUGGAAUUCCUAGUGUAGCGGUGAAAUGCGUAGAUAUUAGGAGGAACACCAGUGGCGAAGGCGGCUUACUGGACAGUAACUGACGUUGAGGCUCGAAAGCGUGGGGAGCAAACAGGAUUAGAUACCCUGGUAGUCCACGCCGUAAACGAUGACUACUAGGUGUCGGGUGGCAAAGCCAUUCGGUGCCGCAGCAAACGCAAUAAGUAGUCCACCUGGGGAGUACGUUCGCAAGAAUGAAACUCAAAGGAAAUUGA